rnacentral:rRNA from 2 species
UGGGGAAUAUUGGACAAUGGGCGCAAGCCUGAUCCAGCCAUGCCGCAUGUGUGAAGAAGGCCUUUUGGUUGUAAAGCACUUUAAGCGAGGAGGAGGCUACUUGGAUUAAUACUCUAGGAUAGUGGACGUUACUCGCAGAAUAAGCACCGGCUAACUCUGUGCCAGCAGCCGCGGUAAUACAGAGGGUGCGAGCGUUAAUCGGAUUUACUGGGCGUAAAGCGUGCGUAGGCGGCUUCUUAAGUCGGAUGUGAAAUCCCUGAGCUUAACUUAGGAAUUGCAUUCGAUACUGGGAAGCUAGAGUAUGGGAGAGGAUGGUAGAAUUCCAGGUGUAGCGGUGAAAUGCGUAGAGAUCUGGAGGAAUACCGAUGGCGAAGGCAGCCAUCUGGCCUAAUACUGACGCUGAGGUACGAAAGCAUGGGGAGCAAACAGG